rnacentral:tRNA from 1 species
GGAAGCUUAGUUCAGCGGUGAGAGCAACGGCCUCAUAAGCCGUAAGUCCUGGGUUCGAAUCCCAGAGUUUCCA